rnacentral:rRNA from 1 species
AUGGAUUCUUCAGAAAUUCCGCCCUCUGACCGCAGAGAAGAGCAGCCGCCGGCGUCGCUGCCGCUGCCGGCGGCCUUUCUCGAGUUCCUCGGCGAGAACGGCCUGGACCCCGCGCUAUACUCCAAGGCGGACACCAUCCCGCGCUACAUCAGGUUAAAACCAGGCACGGAGCCCAUGGUGGUGACAGAGAUCGAAAGCGAGCUCAAGUGUGAUCUCAUGAAGGUGUCGUGGCUGCCGGACUUCUAUGCGAUCCCGCCUGAAAUUCAGAUUGCUGGAUCCAUGGCUUAUCAGCAAGGGAAGAUCUAUGGGAUUGAUGCAGCUUCUGGAGCUGCCAUCUUAGCACUCGAUGUUCAACCAGGAGACCAUGUUCUUGACCUCUGUGCUGCACCAGGUGCAAAGCUUUGCAUGCUUGCAGAUAUGCUUGGUAGCACAGGUUCUUUGACUGGUGUUGAUGUUGCAAAGCACCGUCUUGCAGCCUGUCGUACGAUGUUGCAGAAGUAUUCUCUUGGAGAUCGUAGUCGACUCUUUGUUGCUGAUGGGACUUCAUUUUCCAUAUUGCCUGUGAACUCCAAUCUGGGGAGCAUGGAAGCUUUUGUUGGAAUUGAGGAUAAUGGAAGCAUAUUCUCAGAAUGGACUUCAAAGAGAUCAUGGAAAGACAGACAGAAGUCUAAAAAGGCAAAAGCAGCCGGUUCACCUCAUCCACCAUCAACUUCCGAACCUGAACUGAUAUACUAUGGCAAAGAUUCAGGAUUAGUUGGAUUGCAAAAACGUUAUGUUCUUCGUCCAUCAACUGAUGCUGCUGCCUGUACAUCUGGGUAUGAUAAGGUCCUAGUGGAUGCAGAGUGUACUCACGAUGGAUCGAUAAAACACAUUCAGAAGUUUGAGUUCUGGGGAUGGAAAACAUUAGACCGCCGUGUACUCAACGUAGAAAGAACUGGCAACCUACUUCAACUUCAGUUAGGGCUUCUCACAAAUGGUUUUAAAUUAUUGAAAACAGGUGGAUCACUUGUCUAUAGUACUUGCAGCUUGACUGUUGCACAAAACGAGAAUGUGGUUCAGCAAUUCCUUUCAAAACAUCCUUCAGCAGAGCUGCUAAAGAUCGAUCCAGCUGAUAGCUGGCCCUGCAGAAGCGGUGGCAUCCAGAAAACCUUGCGGUUCGAUCCCGCGACGUCACAAACUAGUGGACUUUUCAUCGCCAAGUUCAUCAAGUUGUGA